GCCAGUCUGCGUAGCUCAAUUGGUAGAGCACUCGCUUGUCAAUUCGAUGGUCAUGGGUUCGUCCCCAUGCUUGGUCGAAUUGGUAAUGGGUAGAUGUGGGUUCGAAUCCCACCGCUGGCC
rnacentral:tRNA from 1 species